UGCGACCGUGGCUGGGGCUGAAGGCGCCUGGACCGGAGCCGGGGCAGGGGCGGUCGUCAGUUCCGCUCCAGGUUCCGACUUGGCUGCUGCAG
rnacentral:tRNA from 1 species